rnacentral:rRNA from 1 species
UACGAAGGGGGCUAGCGUUGCUCGGAAUCACUGGGCGUAAAGGGCGCGUAGGCGGCCAUUCAAGUCAGAGGUGAAAGCCCAAGGCUCAACCUUGGAACUGCCUUUGAUACUGUUUGGCUUGAGACCGGUAGAGGUAAGUGGAACUGCGAGUGUAGAGGUGAAAUUCGUAGAUAUUCGCAAGAACACCAGUGGCGAAGGCGGCUUACUGGACCGGUUCUAACGCUGAGGCGCGAAAGCGUGGGGAGCAAACAGG